GGAGAGAUGCCCGAGAGGCCGAAGGGGCACGUCUGGAAAGCGUGUGUACGUUCAUCGCGUACCGAGGGUUCGAAUCCCUCUCUCUCCG
rnacentral:tRNA from 1 species